rfam:Frankia alni str. ACN14A chromosome, complete sequence.
ACGGCUCCGGUUCACGCCCUCCAUCCGGACGGCGACCCGGCGGCC